UCUACUGGAUCAGAUUCUCUUCAGUAUAUUUCUCCACAAGGUUUCAUACAAUGCAAUCAAAUCACCUUUCAGUCUUCUUUUUGAUAAAACAAAUGGAUGGACUUGUUACAGUCUUCACAGUGAGAAGAAUGUUAUACAAACCACUGAGAAUGCAUGUCAAAUCGCUCAUCCAUCAUUACUCAGCUGAAUAUCAGCUUUCCAGGAUGUAGUUCUUCACUCUAUGGGGUCUUGUGCACGUCAUUUUCAACACACACCAUUGUGCAGCACUGCGAAGAAAAGUAGUCCUGCUCCUUAGAAUAUUUAUGGCUUUCUCAUGCAGAGGCUCACCUAUAACUAUGAUUGGGAAGCUGACUGGUAUCAACCAAAAUGUAUGAUGAACAAGUUUCCUUUACCAUCUCCUCACUGGAAGUGCAAUUUGUGUUUCUUUCCCACACCUGGUUAAUAGUUCUUGCAAAAUUUGUAGAAAUGUGACUUUGUGACUUAGUGACCUUUAUCCCUCACUCAAACUUGACUAAAAUUGCCCUGUGGCUUUAAAAAUCAUUAUAGACAGUGGGAUAGAUGUUUGCCCAGACAACACAAUCACAUUAAAAUUAUUGCUUUAGGAAAACAUGGCAGAAAAUAGAUUGAACAGAGCUUGGUUUAUUUUGGCAUUUUCACAAUUUAUUUCUUGGUUUGAUUUUGCAAAUGUGAAUCACAAAUGUGUGGUGCUUAUUAUUCUCAUGUAAGAGUCUGGUUUCAUCUUAUUCACACACUGGGAGAUCAAUGUGGUUUUGGCUUUGCAAUCUAUAUCCGGGGGGAUUCAAAUCCAGCUGUUAUAUUAUACAAAACAUUGAAGUUUAAUUAACUCAUGAUUACUAAAAAAAAAAUAAUGAAAGAACUAAAUAACUUUAUUUUGUAGAGACAAUGGCUU